rnacentral:rRNA from 1 species
GACGAACGCUGGCGGCGUGCUUAACACAUGCAAGUCGAACGGAAAGGCCCUGCUUUUGUGGGGUGCUCGAGUGGCGAACGGGUGAGUAACACGUGAGUAACCUGCCCCUGACUUUGGGAUAUCUUCAGGAAACUGCGGCUAUUACCGGAUAGGAGCUCCUGCUGCAUGGUGGGGGUUGGAAAGUUUCGGCGGUUGGGGCUGGACUAGCGGCUUAUCAGCUUGUUGGUGGGGUAGUGGCUUACCAAGGGUUUGACGGAUAGCCGGCCUGGGAGGGUGGCCGGCGACAUUGGGACUGAGAGACGGCGCAGACGCCUACGGGAGGCAGCAGUGGGGAGUAUUGCACAAUAGGCGGGAGCCAGAUACAGCAACGCCGCGUGCGGGAUGACGGGCUUCGGGUUGUAAACCGCUUUCGCCUGUGACAAAGCGUGAGUGACGGUAAUGGGUAAAGAAGCACCGGCUAACUACGUG